rnacentral:rRNA from 1 species
GAAACCUGGUUGAUCCUGCCAGUAGUCAUAUGCUUGUCUUAAGGAUUAAGCCAUGCAUGUCUCAGUAUAAACGAUUUUAUACGGUGAAACUGCGAAUGGCUCAUUACAACAGUUAUAGUUUAUUUGAUCGUGCGGUACUACGUGGAUAACCGUAGGAAUUCUAGAGCUAAUACAUGCCCCAACGCUUUCGAAAU